GACGAACGCUGGCGGCGUGCCUAACACAUGCAAGUCGAACGGGGUUAUUUCCUUCGGGGAAUAACUUAGUGGCGAACGGGUGAGUAACGCGUGAGGAACCUGCCUUUCAGUGGGGGACAACAGUUGGAAACGACUGCUAAUACCGCAUAAUGUAUCGAGGGGGAAUCCCAUUGAUACAAAAGCUUUAUGUCCUGAAAGAUGGCCUCGGGUCUGAUUAGAUAGUGGGUGGGGUAACGGCUCACCAAGUCAAGUAUCAGUAGCCGGUCUGAGAGGAUGAACGGCCACAUUGGGACUGAGAUACGGCCCAGACUCCUAAGGGAGGCAGCAGUGGGGAAUAUUGGGCAAUGGGGGAAACCCUGACCCAGCAACGCCGCGUGAAGGAAGAAGGCCUUCGGGUUGUAAACUUCUUUUAGCAGGGACGAAAGACGUGACGGUACCUGCAGAAAAAGCAACGGCUAACUACGUGCCAGCCGCCGCCGUAACAC
rnacentral:rRNA from 1 species